GAUUCGAAUCCUAAAACUAAAUUCCUAAGUCUAGCCCAAUUGAAUAAAGCCCAAUAUUAUAAACCCAUAACCCCAUACUUCUACUCCAUGUAAAACACAAAACACAAAACACCAAACCCCUCUAUUCCUACUUCACGUAAAAACCAAAAAGGGCAAAACCCAUCUCUCUCCUUUCCUGCUUCCUCUUCCUCCCUCUGCCCAGCCGCCGACCACCACGAGCACGCCACCAAGGCCGCCAGACCACCUCGCCGCCACGUCGCUGACCACCAGCUCUCACCACCACCUUGCUCGCGCAGCCCCCGCGUCGCCACCCAGCCUGCGCCGCCGCUGCCUUGUCCCUGCUCGCCGCCACCGCAAGUAGCACCACCGUGUGCCGCCGUCUCUCAGCCCUGCCGCAAGCCACCUCUGUCCGCCAGCCAACUCUCUCUCCUCCUUCUUGAAUUGGCGGAGAAUUCUCUUUAGGCGACUUUUGAAAGUGUUAAAGUGGCCUAUCAGUUUGUUUACACAAGUCUCUAAGGAUCAAUAAGCGUUGCCCAUCUACAGGUUUGAAGAUGAUGCAUCAUUGGGAUCGGGAUUAGAGAGCUUGUAGUUCUAUUCGUUUAAUUAAGU